rnacentral:rRNA from 1 species
AACGAACGCUGGCGGCAGGCUUAACACAUGCAAGUCGAACGCAUCCUUCGGGGUGAGUGGCAGACGGGUGAGUAACGCGUGGGAACGUGCCCUUCAGUUCGGAAUAACCCAGGGAAACUUGGGCUAAUACCGGAUACGUGCGAGAGCAGAAAGAUUUAUCGCUGAAGGAUCGGCCCGCGUCUGAUUAGCUAGUUGGUGAGGUAAUGGCUCACCAAGGCGACGAUCAGUAGCUGGUCUGAGAGGAUGAUCAGCCACAUUGGGACUGAGACACGGCCCAAACUCCUACGGGAGGCAGCAGUGGGGAAUAUUGGACAAUGGGCGCAAGCCUGAUCCAGCCAUGCCGCGUGAGUGAUGAAGGCCUUAGGGUUGUAAAGCUCUUUCGUCCGGGACGAUAAUGACGGUACCGGAAGAAGAAGCCCCGGCUAACUUCGUGCCAGCAGCCGCAGUAACAC